rnacentral:rRNA from 1 species
UAGCAUUUGCAUUGUAAACUCCUGUCGGCCGGGAAGAAUUGGCGGGGCUCUAAUCGGUCCCGUUUUGACUGUACCGGCAAAGGAAGCCCCGGCUAACUCCGUGC